rnacentral:piRNA from 1 species
UGGUGAUACCCAAGAAGCAUAUAUCCC